rnacentral:lncRNA from 1 species
UUAGAUCUGAACCAGCUCCUUGACAAUUCCACCCGAUGAUAUUCAUUACGGCAGUAUUUUCUGAUUUUUAAUUUACGGACAGUAGUUCCUUCACAAAUUUAAGAAAGUAUUGACAGACUUAGCACAAGGCUAGAAUGUGACGAACUCUAGAUACAGAGCACAACUAUACGAUAAGAUAAGAUAGCUAAGUCAUCGUCUUCUUCUUGCUUUUGUUGAAAUGAUGCUGUUUUUUGGAGGUUGAGACCUGAUUUUUCCAAGAGUCCAUCGAAACGAGGAUAGACUGUCAAGAAAUUAGCAGAUCUGGAGAAAAAAACCUUAGCCCGAGGCUAGAGAGAAGAACUGACGCCGCCGAGAAGCUUUUAAUGAGGGAAGUGUGAGUCCAAGCCACCAUCUUUGCUAGCAGCUAGGAUCAGAAGGCUCCAGCGAGGAAGAGAGGGCUCAUUGGUCACCAUCGAUGAUGGAUCUCAAAGCCCAAGAUAAGAUGAAGCUAUUCACUGGCAAAGAAGGGUUUGUGUCUGCGAAGAUGUCCUGGAACGGUUCCAAUUUUUAGAAAGAGAAAUGGAUCUGAGAGAUUUCAUGUGAACACAGCCGAGAAUUUCGGUCGACAUGACGGAGAGAGGUCUUGACGAGAAUUGGCACUGAUGAAGCUAAUCGAUCUCGGGAACUCAGUUUGCCGAAUCUCUUGGCCUCUUUCUUUUUCGACUAAAUAUAAAUCUUCUUCUUCAAACUUGACUUCGGUUAAAACGAUCAAUUAGCUGAGAGUUAUGAACGUGAGAUAGCUCAGUGAUUUCCUCUUCUUCUUCUUACAUAGUGAUGUUGAGAUUUGUGUUUGGCUUCUGCAUUUUGCAGGUUUUUUAUUCCAACUGCAGGAUAGGGUUUGAAGCAGAUUUUUUUGGAGGAGUAGCGGUCUAGGGAAAUUGGCACCCGGCUAUAACUCUUUUGUGAAGCUUCUUUGGAGAGAAAAAUGUGAUGACUUAGCACAAGGCUAGAAAUUUGAGAGGUUUUCAGUUUUUUCACACUUCCCAGCAGGAGAGGUCUUCAAUCUUGGUCGCUGUAAGUCUUCAGUCUUACAUAUGGAAUGAGUUGUUGCAUCUGGGUGUUGGUUGGUAAUAAAAGCUUCGUUUACAAAGCCUUGUAUUAGAGGAAUUGAAAUCAUUCUUCUAAGUUGCAGUGAGAGAGCAGAGAGGAAAAAGGAAAAUAUUACAGAAGCGAGAUUACUAGUCACCCAUAAUCAGAAGAAAAAUAUCCUUCCGACAUGAUUCAAGGGCGGAGCCACAGCGGAGGUCGGCCAAAGACGGUGGUUUGGAAAAGGAAGAAAGUAUUUCUGGCAAAUCACAAUGUUUAUAUCGAUGUUCUAAAAAUCGGCCAAGUUGCCGAUUAAUCGUCCGGCUAGGCGUUCGGCAGACUAGUGACGCCGCGAUUACAUAGUAAUCGGCAGACCUAAUCGUCGAUUAAUCGGCUUGGUCAUUGGUCAACGACUAGUUCUAUCAGACCAAACGUGUAGUAUUACUUAUAGAAGAUGUUGAAGGUCACCUUUACAGUCAUUUGUCGAUGUGGGACAUUUUACACUUACCUACUUCAAAAGAAAAUGAGGUAACCCAUGACAUUGAGAACCACCUACAUGCUCUAACCACUACACCAAAGCGUCAUUUCAUAAAUUAAACAACGAUAUAUAAUAUAUAUAUCUAUUGAAAUUAGAUAAAAACUUUAAAAUUAAUCUCCGAAAAUCCACGAUUAAACUCUGAUUUAUUGAUUAGGCGCUAGGCGCUACCUGACCGCCUGACUAGCGCCUA